rnacentral:lncRNA from 1 species
UGUUCGGAAGCGUGCGUGUGGGGUUCGGUCUAGAGGUCUGAUCGAGGUUCUGCCCGUGCCGCGGGGGUUGGUCGGGGGAUUCAGAAUCGUCGAUGCCGAAUUUUGCUAUGGCGAAUCUGCACCUCUGACGGGAUCUGCGGGUGCUGCUGGAUUCUGUUGUAAGAGCGCCCACCUUAAGGUGGUUGCAGUUGCGUUUAAUUGUUAGGUCUCCUUCGAGCCCUCGCCGAGUAAGAGUUAUGUAGAGUGUAGUUGUGCUUGCUGCGAGCCGUUUGAUGAUGUUGACUUGGAUUAUUUGCGCCAAGAGGAGGUGUUGCGCCUUUAUUAUUACUCCCUCCGUUCCAAAAUAGAUGACUCAACUUUGUACUAACUUUAUACUACAGUUAGUACAAAGUUGAGUCAUCUAUUUUGGAACGGAGGGAGUAUUAUGUUACUGCAUU